GACAGAGGGGGCAAGCGUUGUCCGGAGUUACUGGGCGUAAAGGGCGCGGAGGCGGUCUGCGGCGUCGGCGCUGAAAGCGCCCCGCUUAACGGGGCGAGGCGUGCCGAUACGCGCAGGCUCGAGGCGAGCAGAGGGUGGUGGAAUUCCGGGUGGAGCGGUGAAAUGCGUAGAGAUCCGGAGGAACGCCAGUGGGGAAGCCGGCCCCCUGGGCUCGGCCUGACGCGGCGGCGCGACAGCGUGGGGAGCAAACCGG
rnacentral:rRNA from 1 species